rnacentral:rRNA from 1 species
UACGUAGGGUGCGAGCGUUGUCCGGAAUUAUUGGGCGUAAAGGGCUCGUAGGCGGUUUGUCACGUCGGGAGUGAAAACUCGGGGCUUAACCCCGAGCCUGCUUCCGAUACGGGCUGACUAGAGGUAUGCAGGGGGAGAACGGAAUUCCUGGUGUAGCGGUGAAAUGCGCAGAUAUCAGGAGGAACACCGGUGGCGAAGGCGGUUCUCUGGGCAUUACCUGACGCUGAGGAGCGAAAGUGUGGGGAGCGAACAGG